CAAGAAAUAAUCUGUCUUAAUUAAAUAUAUUGAAUUUAACUUUUAAGUGAAAAGGCUUAGAUAAUCUGAAGGGACGAUAAGACCCUAUAAAACUUUAUAUUUAUGAAUGAUAGUUAAUUUUGUUUUGGAAUAUUAUUUUAAAAUAUUUAGUUGGGGUGACAAGGAUAAAAUAUGAAAUAACUGUCUUUUUUUUUUUACAGUGAUAUUUGGUUUAAUGAUCCUAAAGUGGAUUAUAAGAUUAAGUUACUUUAGGGAUAACAGCGUAAUUUUCUUUGAGAGUUCUUAUCGACAAGAAAGUU
rnacentral:rRNA from 1 species